UACGGAGGGGGCUAGCGUUAUUCGGAAUUACUGGGCGUAAAGCGCACGUAGGCGGAUUAGAAAGUCAGAGGUGAAAUCCCAGGGCUCAACCGUGGAACUGCCUUUGAAACUCCAGAUCUUGAGGCCGAGAGAGGUGAGUGGAAUUCCGAGUGGAGAGGUGAAAUUCGUAGAUAUUCGGAGGAACACCAGUGGCGAAGGCGGCUCACUGGCCCGCUACUGACGCUGAGGUGCGAAAGCGUGGGGAGCAAACAGG
rnacentral:rRNA from 1 species